CUCUUAUAGAUUUUAUAGAAUUUGGUUUUUAGGUGAAGAAACCUAAAUAUAAUUAAAAGACAAGAAGACCCUAUCGAGCUUAAAAUAAUUUUUUUGGUAUAAUGAUAACACCUUACUCAAAAAAAGAUUUUAGUUGGGGCGACUAAGGAACAAGAAAAGCUUCCUAUAAGCUAUACUUACUAAUAAGUAUUGAUCCAAAAAAUUUGAUUAACAGAAUUAGUUACCGUAGGGAUAACAGCAUAAUCUUUUCUAAGAGUCCUUAUCGAAGAAAAGGUUUGUGACCUCGAUGUUGGACUAGGGUGCCCAGAUAGGUGCAGAAGCCUUCAAUGGUUGGUCUGUUCGACCA
rnacentral:rRNA from 1 species